rnacentral:misc_RNA from 1 species
AAGUCGUAACAAGGUUUCCGUAGGUGAACCUGCGGAAGGAUCAUUACAAAUCCAUCCACGUCUCAACACGCUUGAGACCACGUUGAAAUGUUCCCUAGUCAGACGUGCCCCUUCGGGUGCGCGCCUGGCUAGGCUGUUAAACUAGUGUUUCCUUGUUGCUCAAAUGUAUCCUGUCUGCAUCCUAACGGAGGCUAAGACUUGAAAACUUGUACAACUUAUAACAAUGGAUCUCUAGGCUCUU